AUUGAACGCUGGCGGCAGGCCUAACACAUGCAAGUCGAACGGUAGCACAGAGAGCUUGCUCUCGGGUGACGAGUGGCGGACGGGUGAGUAAUGUCUGGGAAACUGCCCGAUGGAGGGGGAUAACUACUGGAAACGGUAGCUAAUACCGCAUAACGUCGCAAGACCAAAGUGGGGGACCUUCGGGCCUCACACCAUCGGAUGUGCCCAGAUGGGAUUAGCUAGUAGGUGGGGUAAUGGCUCACCUAGGCGACGAUCCCUAGCUGGUCUGAGAGGAUGACCAGCCACACUGGAACUGAGGCACGGUCCAGACUCCUACGGGAGGCAGCAGUGGGGAAUAUUGCACAAUGGGCGCAAGCCUGAUGCAGCCAUGCCGCGUGUAUGAAGAAGGCCUUCGGGUUGUAAAGUACUUUCAGCGGGGAGGAAGGCGAUGAAGUUAAUAACUUCACCGAUUGACGUUACCCGCAGAAGAAGCACCGGCUAACUCCGUGCCAGCAGCCGCGGUAA
rnacentral:rRNA from 1 species